rnacentral:rRNA from 1 species
UACGGAGGGUGCGAGCGUUUGUCCGGAAUCACUGGGCGUAAAGAGCGUGUAGGCGGCUCGGUAAGUCCGCUGUGAAAGUCCAGGGGCUCAACCCCUGGAAUGCCGGUGGAAACUGUCGAGCUAGAGUCCGGAAGGGGCGAGUGGAAUUCCUGGUGUAGCGGUGAAAUGCGCAGAUAUCAGGAGGAACACCAAUGGCGAAGGCAG